rnacentral:rRNA from 1 species
GACGAACGCUGGCGGCGUGCUUAACACAUGCAAGUCGAACGGAAAGGCCCUGCUUUUGUGGGGUGCUCGAGUGGCGAACGGGUGAGUAACACGUGAGUAACCUGCCCUUGACUUUGGGAUAACUUCAGGAAACUGGGGCUAAUACCGGAUAGGAGCUCCUGCUGCAUGGUGGGGGUUGGAAAGUUUCGGCGGUUGGGGAUGGACUCGCGGCUUAUCAGCUUGUUGGUGGGGUAGUGGCUUACCAAGGCUUUGACGGGUAGCCGGCCUGAGAGGGUGACCGGCGACAUGGGGACUGAGGUAGGGACCAGACUCCUACGGGAGGCAGCAGUGGGGAAUAUUGCACAAUGGGCGGAAGCCUGAUGCAGCAACGCCGCGUGCGGAAUGACGGCCUUCGGGUUGUAAACCGCUUUCGCCUGUGACGAGGCGUGAGUGACGGUAAUGGGUAAAGAAGCACCGGCUAACUACGUG